CCUACGGGGGGCUGCAGUGGGGAAUUUUGCGCAAUGCUCGUAAGAGUGACGCAGCGACGCCGCGUGAGUGACGAAGGCCUUCGGGUCGUAAAGCUCUUUCGGCAGGGAAGAAAAUGCCUAUAAGUAACUGUGUAUGAAUUGACGGUACCUGUAUAGGCAGCCCCGGCUAACUCCGUGCCAGCAGCCGCGGUAAUACGGAGGGGGCGAGCGUUGUUCGGAGUGACUGGGCGUAAAGAGCACGUAGGCGGUGUUGUAAGUCAUUAGUCAAAGACUAGAGCUCAACUUUAGUAAGGCUAGUGAUACUAGAAAACUAGAGUGUCAGAGAGGAUAGCGGAAUUCCUGGUGUAGCGGUGAAAUGCGUAGAUAUCAGGAGGAAUACCAGUGGCGAAGGCGGCAAUCUGGCUGGAAACUGACGCUGAGGUGCGAAAGCGUGGGUAGCAAACAGGAUUAGAUACCCUGGUAGUC
rnacentral:rRNA from 1 species